AUGGCUCCUAAUUAAUCUUUGAUUUUGUACCAAAUAAAUGCUAAAUCAGUUAAGGUAAAAUCUUAAAUUGAUAUGGUUAGUGGUAUAAUUUGAAAAUGAUGAAUAUAGGUGCCAUUGAUGUGUAGUGAAUCAUAGGUACUUUUUUCCAGUUAAACACUCGUAAAAUUUUGAUAUGGAUAGAUACGUUUGUUUUGUCUGCAAUUGAUAUGAUUAGUGGUAUAAUUUUAAGUUGUUAAGCGAUUUUUAUCAAAAAAGUUGAUUUUCCUAAUAUUUCAAAGUAAUCAGGUACUUAUAAAUGGUGGAUAUGCAGUAAUUAUAGCAGCAAAUUAGUGAGCUCUUUUGAAUUCCCAGUCAUUGCCUAUUAACUAUUCAUUGUUCUUGUUUUUGAAGGAUUUUCACCUUUUGAUGUCCUUGACUGUACUACAACAUGAGUUAAUCAAACAUGAAAAUAUGAUACAGUUGUUUAUUUACUGUUUCUAUCU
rnacentral:lncRNA from 1 species